rnacentral:rRNA from 1 species
AUACGGAGGAUCCGAGCGUUAUCCGGAUUUAUUGGGUUUAAAGGGUGCGCAGGCGGCCAUUUAAGUCAGCGGUUAAAUCGUGGGGCUCAACCCCAUUGUGCCGUUGAUACUGGGUGGCUUGAUUGCGGUCGAGGUUGGCGGAAUUCGUUGUGUAGCGGUGAAAUGCAUAGAUAUGACGAAGAACACCGCUUGCGUAGGCAGCUGACCAGAUCGCAAAUGACGCUCAUGCACGAAAGUGCGGGGAUCGAACAGGAUUAGAUACCCUGGUAGUCCGCACAGUAAACGAUGAAUACUUGUUUUCGGCGAUAUAAUGUCGGAGGCAAAGCGAAAGCGAUAAGUAUUCCACCUGGGGAGUACGCCGGCAACGGUGAAACUCAAAUGAAUUGACGGG